GGGAUUGGAUCUAGCACAGAUACUAAAAUUGGAAUAAUAAAGAGAAGAUUAGCAUGGCUCCUCUGAAAGGAUGUCAUGCAAAUUUCUGAAGUUAAACUAAAAUAA